ensembl:lncRNA
AUGCUUCAUCUCAGCUGGCUCUCACAGCACUGGCAGUGUACUGAAGCAUGCAGAUCUUCACAGGAGAUGCUGGGACAAGUCAGGACCCCUGGGGGCUUCAUACAUUCAUCUUUAAUGUAUUUCAUAGUGGAUUUUCCCUAUAGGCAUGAGAAUCAGGAUCAUUCUGGCCUUUUUUUCUCCACAGGCAUCUUUAUUCUGCAUAAUAAAUGCCUAUAUAGUGGGCAAAGAUACUAUUUAAAUCUAAUGUAAAUUUUUAUGCUGACAGUUUCAAUUUUAAUGGAUUGGAAUGGAUAUAUAUAUAAAAAAGCAUUGCAUCCAAAUUGUAAAAAAAAAUGCAUGAAAUAGCAUACAAAGCAUAAUUGUUUAUUUUAUUACUUUCUUGUUAAAGUUCCAAGAUAGAUUAUAGUAUGACUGAGUUAGACAAUUAUUUUCAUUUAAAUAUAUGGCUGAAUGUUUUUGCAUACGCAUAGGGAGAUUUGUGUACGUAAACCCAUUUGUCUUCCAUUAAUCAUCUUGUAGUACACUUUUCACUCUUGAUGGUGGCUUAUGUAGUUAUUAUGAUGGGCAACAGCGACAUCUAGUGUUACAAUUCUAAAUUCUUAUUGAGUUGGAGCAUAAACAACACACCAACAACAUAAUUUACUUGAAGCAGUAGUUAAAUUUGUAUGGUUUCUAAAUUUUUUGAGUGCAUCAAACAAUAAAAAUAGCCACCAAUGUUUUAGUUUAAUGUUAAAUAUUUUUAAUGUUAUGUUUUAGUUAGUUCAAUGAUAAGCUACCACAAUCAUCCCGAUGUCCUUAACACUUCACCCUCCAGCAUUCUCUUCCCUUGACUCACCUUUAUACCAGUGCCAGAUCUGAGACGCCAGAGGGAUGCUGGGACUUUCCCUGUGAAAACACAGUUUCCGUCUGUUCUGUUUAAAUGCUAUAAUAACUGUAGGCUAAAUCAGGGUUAUAAAGAUGAAGAUGGAAAUAGAAAGUGGGGUGUGUUGCUGUAAAUCCAAGGAGCAGGUAUGCUUAUGGCUUGAGGAGCCUAUUAUUAAAGGAAUUUUUCGAAUUUAAUACGAACUGAGAUCAAUCAAAUAGCAUUCGUGGCAUAAUGACUACCUAAAAAAGUAAUUUCGACUCUUUUCUUAAAUAAAUAAUAAAAGAAAGAAAGACAAAUAAAGAAAGAAGGGAUAUGGAGAGGCAUUUACAAUUGGAGUGAAUGGAACCAGUUUCUUGAGGAUUUAAAAGCAGAAAUGUGCUGCUUACAAUACUAAAUUUCUACAAGUGUACAAAUCUCAUUAUUUGAGCUGCUGUUUAAAUCAAGUUAUAAAACUGGACAAUAAAAGAUAUUUUAUCACAAUUAAAAUUGUGUGAACAUACGCAUUGUUAUUAUGUAUUUUUGAAACAGUGAGUAUUUUAAUGUUUAACGAUUGGCC